AGUUUGUUGAAUUUAUAAUAAAUAUUUUCUGCCCAGUGAUUAUUUAAAUGGCCGCGGUAUUUUGACUGUGCAAAGGUAGCAUAAUCAUUUGUCUAUUAAUUGUGGACUAGUAUGAAUGAAUUUACGGAAAUAGUAUUGUCUCUUUUUUUUUCUUUUAAUUUUCUUUUUAGGUGAAGAAGCCUAUAUUUUUAAAUAAGACGAGAAGACCCUAUUGAUCUUUAUUAUUACCAUAAUAAUUUUUAUUUUUUUAUUUUAUUUUAAUUUAGUUGGGGCAACUGAGGAGGAAUUUUUAUUCUCUUUUAUUUAUAUAUUGAUCUUUUUUUUUGACUAUAAGAAAAAGUUACCAUAGGGAUAACAGCGUUAUUAUUUUGGAGAGUUCUUAUCAAUAAAGUAGUUUGCGACCUCGAUGUUGGACUAGGAUUACCUGAGGGGGCAGUUUUUUUCUUGGUAGGUCUGUUCGACCUUUAAAAUCCU
rnacentral:rRNA from 1 species